AACAAACGCUGGCGGCGUGCCUAACACAUGCAAGUCGCGCGAGAAAGUUCCCUUCGGGGAGCGAGUAAAGCGGCGAAAGGGGGAGUAGCACGUGGGUAAUCUGCCCUUGGAACCGGGAUAAUUUGCCGAAAGGCGGGCUAAUACCGGAUAAGACCACGCGGACUGAUGUCCGUGCGGUAAAAGGUGGCCUCUCGAAGAAGCUAUCAUCCAAGGAUGAGCCCGCGGCCUAUUAGCUAGUUGGUAGGGUAAUGGCCUACCAAGGCGAUGAUGGGUAGCCGGCCUGAGAGGGUGUACGGCCACACUGGAACUGAGACACGGUCCAGACUCCUACGGGAGGCAGCAGUGGGGAAUUUUGCGCAAUGGGGGAAACCCUGACGCAGCAACGCCGCGUGAGUGAUGAAGGCCUUCGGGUUGUAAAGCUCUUUUAGUGGGAAAGAAAUGCGCAGGUGCUAAUACCACCGGCGCUUGACGGUACCCACAGAAAAAGUUCCGGCUAACUCCGUGCCAGCAGCCGCCGUAAAAC
rnacentral:rRNA from 1 species